UAAGGGCGCACGGUGGAUGCCUUGGCACUAGAAGCCGAUGAAGGACGUUACUAACGACGAUAUGCUUUGGGGAGCUGUAAGUAAGCUUUGAUCCAGAGAUUUCCGAAUGGGGAAACCCAGCAUGAGUUAUGUCAUGUUAUCGAUAUGUGAAUACAUAGCAUAUCAGAAGGCACACCCGGAGAACUGAAACAUCUUAGUACCCGGAGGAAGAGAAAGAAAAUUCGAUUCCCUUAGUAGCGGCGAGCGAAACGGGAAGAGCCCAAACCAACAAGCUUGCUUGUUGGGGUUGUAGGACACUCUAUACGGAGUUACAAAGGACGACAUUAGACGAAUCAUCUGGAAAGAUGAAUCAAAGAAGGUAAUAAUCCUGUAGUCGAAAAUGUUGUCUCUCUUGAGUGGAUCCUGAGUACGACGGAGCACGUGAAAUUCCGUCGGAAUCUGGGAGGACCAUCUCCUAAGGCUAAAUACUCUCUAGUGACCGAUAGUGAACCAGUACCGUGAGGGAAAGGUGAAAAGCACCCCGGAAGGGGAGUGAAAUAGAACCUGAAACCGUGUGCUUACAAGUAGUCAGAGCCCGUUAAUGGGUGAUGGCGUGCCUUUUGUAGAAUGAACCGGCGAGUUACGAUUUGAUGCAAGGUUAAGCAGUAAAUGUGGAGCCGUAGCGAAAGCGAGUCUGAAUAGGGCGUUUAGUAUUUGGUCGUAGACCCGAAACCAGGUGAUCUACCCUUGGUCAGGUUGAAGUUCAGGUAACACUGAAUGGAGGACCGAACCGACUUACGUUGAAAAGUGAGCGGAUGAACUGAGGGUAGCGGAGAAAUUCCAAUCGAACCUGGAGAUAGCUGGUUCUCUCCGAAAUAGCUUUAGGGCUAGCCUCAAGUGAUGAUUAUUGGAGGUAGAGCACUGUUUGGACGAGGGGCCCCUCUCGGGUUACCGAAUUCAGACAAACUCCGAAUGCCAAUUAAUUUAACUUGGGAGUCAGAACAUGGGUGAUAAGGUCCGUGUUCGAAAGGGAAACAGCCCAGACCACCAGCUAAGGUCCCAAAAUAUAUGUUAAGUGGAAAAGGAUGUGGCGUUGCCCAGACAACUAGGAUGUUGGCUUAGAAGCAGCCAUCAUUUAAAGAGUGCGUAAUAGCUCACUAGUCGAGUGACACUGCGCCGAAAAUGUACCGGGGCUAAACAUAUUACCGAAGCUGUGGAUUGUCCUUUGGACAAUGGUAGGAGAGCGUUCUAAGGGCGUUGAAGCAUGAUCGUAAGGACAUGUGGAGCGCUUAGAAGUGAGAAUGCCGGUGUGAGUAGCGAAAGACGGGUGAGAAUCCCGUCCACCGAUUGACUAAGGUUUCCAGAGGAAGGCUCGUCCGCUCUGGGUUAGUCGGGUCCUAAGCUGA
rnacentral:rRNA from 1 species